GUCAGUGUUUGACUGAACAGUCUUUUUGUAUUGCUCACCACACCUCACCACAACAUGCUGAGACUGUUUGUGUUGCUUACAGCAGUGGUCUGCUGUAAUGCCUGCAGAUUAGAAAUGUUUCCCACUCAAGAUUUCAUUAGGAGCCCACCAGGAUGUACUGACUCUGAUGGAAAUCUCCAUGAUUUUUUCUCUGAGUGGGAGAAUGGACCUGAAAAAUGUGUCUGUGUGGAUUUUGGAACCAUCUGUUGUGGACGAUAUGUCCCUGAUUACGACGUGGCUGAGGAAACAAACCCAGAAAAGUAACAUCUUGAGUGGGCGAGAAAAAAAAGAAAGAAAUUCUCUCUUAUAUGACCAGACUAAACCCUGCUGAAUGAGCUGAUUUAAACAGCAUUUUCAAUAAACAUACCUAAGAGCAUGUA